rnacentral:lncRNA from 1 species
GCACACUACCUUGUCAAAACUCGAAUGCGUAGUGACCACGAAGAUCUAAGCUCUGCAGAUUCACCUUCCAGAAAGAGUACAGUGCCAUUCACAGAGUUCACUAAUACUCUCUCAACUUCUCAAACUGAUGAUAACAAAACUUUGAAGGGGGAAGAACGCACACACUGUGACGGUGAUGAUGCAAAUUGUGAUGAAGAAGAUGUCAACGAGUGAAACAAUGAUAAAAGAUAAGAAUGUUUUUUGCCUGACAAAGACUGAAAGUGGAAAAGACCCUAUAUGUAAAGCACAUAUUACUAAAUCAGCUCGGUUAACAGUAAGUUACCUUUUUUUGUUUGGAUAUAAACAUUUUGUAAGCAUUUCAAUGGUGGGAAAAGCUUGUAUUUUGCUCGUGGUUAUUUUGCAUCUUUGUUUGACUGAUUAUGAUAAUCGAGCACUAACUUAACAGUUUCAUUUUUGCCUCGAAUCCUUUGAAAGAAAAAUUACGACAGGUUUUUGCUUGCUUCUAAAAUUAUCUGUAGUAUUAGAAUCUAAUGUAGAAACUGUAUCUUUUACUAAGUAGUUUCCAGCUAAAUAAACAAAACCAUUCAACUCAUUGUUCACGAUCCAUUGUUUCAACGAAGGGAAAUUAAAGGAAACAGGUGAGUAACUCUGGUUCUUCUGCAUUUCCAUGUUUAGACCUCGGGGACGGAUGCAAGUAAAACCUUCUUUCUUUGAUAGCUUUCUCUUCUUCCACUUUAUUUAUCUUCUCAAUGGAUGGAGAAGCUCGUUUAUUCGGACGAGUUGAGGGACUUGGGAUGAUGAUGGGAUGAAACUGGGAAUAAGUGAUUUCUAUGUCUGGUCUUCGACAUUGUCUGCGAUGGUGGAGUUUUGAUAUAUUCGGCUGCUUUUGUGCUUUUGAAGUUUUGUUGUUGCUGCAAUUUUGGGAUUUACAUCACUACAUUCAGAUGUACCAGUUAAUCGUUGAACGACUUCUCGGAAGCAAGAUAAGUCUGCUUGUACGAAUGUUGUCAUGUCUUUCGAUAAGCCUGUACGGAUCGUUGUCAUUUUCAUGUGUUCACUGAUUUUUUAUCUGCAAAACAUUCUUCCUAAUUAGUUAUGCUUCCAUUUUCCUAGCCAGAAAUUGCCUAUGAUGAUAAUUCCACCAUUUACAUAUAUAAAAGAAAGGUCAAAAUCACACCUAAAGUAUCUCGAUUUUUUAGCUACGUACCUAAAUUAUUAGGCAUUUGAAUUUUCUACUUGAACGAUGAUGAUAUUUCAGGUAGAAAACUUGUGUGAUUUUGACCUUCCACUCUGCUAAAAUCAUGAAUCAUUCGACACAAAAAUACAAUUUAAACAAACAUCUUGGCUAAAUAUGACAAUUGACAAACAAAAUAGACUCAUAACAAUGGUUUUCGAAAAUUGUUUCAAACAACAUAUUUCAGUAAAACUUAGUCGCCACUAAUAAAGUAGACCAUGACUCUUCUAGCCAAAAAGUUUAGUUAGCUUUUGUUUUAAUAAUAAAUUACUAAUAAUUGAAUGCAAUAUAUGUUUGAAAAAAGUUAAGUAUAAUUGAUAUUUGCUCUGGUGGUGGAUUCUUAAAUCUUGUCCUUUAUCCUAUCCAAAAUUUUAGAGAGUAAAAGAAUCUUUAGUUAUUAACAAUUUCCUCAUAAAGGACCCUAGAUUAUUUGUCAAGGAAAAAAUAGUCCCUAGAUUAAUACAAGUCCUUUCAGAAUAACAACAAUAGUAAUAGCUAGUGACAGUAACACCAAAUAAUCCUGGUAACUUGCUUAUGUUCAUUUGUUAAUAGAUACAUCUUGUACUAAAUAUUUAAUUUCUUUUCACUUUUCAAUUCUUUUUCCUUUUUGAUUUUGGUAAUGUAACAAGUAUUAUACUCUACGCAUGUGAUUACCAUAAAAUUCAAAUAUAACAGCUAGAGUAACUGAUUUUGCUUUCAUAACCAUUUUGGAUUUGAUCAUACUUUCAUUUUUCUUGUUGUUUGGUUUGUUUAGUAUUGAGGUUACAGUAAGUAGAAAUAAAUAAAUAUAAUGUUAAUGAUGCUUUUUUUUAGGACUUUCUGGAAAUUAUUAACUUAAUUUUGUCAUCUAAACAUUUUGGUCGUUCGUAAAUGUCCAUGUCCUGGAAAUGUGGACCCAUAAGUAUUUGUUGGACAGUUCUCAUAAGUUAUGUACAAUAAUCUCUUGAAAAGUGAGCUAGGACAUAAGAUCAUAGUUCCAAUAUCAUUUUGGUGGUCUCACAUAGUGACAUAGAUUAUAUUCAAGCUUUCCAGUCGUCUCGGACAAAAGUUUUUCUUUUAUCUCUGCAAGUGUGGAUGACUUGAGUUAGCCUCAUUGCGUCCUGGAUUUUGAAAAGUGUUCUGUUUUCAGCACAGCUAUACCUGAAAGCAAGCCAUUGAAGCGCUUAGAGGUUUCACAGAGUUUAAAGGAUCUUAUGGGCUACACUCUCGAGGUCAAACCAUCUCAAACUCCACAUGAGGAUGCUGGGCAAGGUUUAUUCAUACAUGGUGAAGCUGAUGUUGGUACUGUGUUAGCAUUCUAUCCUGGUGUAAUAUACUCUCCUGCAUACUACCGCUAUAUUCCUGGAUAUCCAAGAGUUGACGCCCAAAAUUCGUAUUUGAUCACAUGGUAUGAUGGAACUGUGAUAAAUGCACAGCCCUGGGGUGCUGGUGGUGAAUCUCGAGAAAUAUGGGAUGGAUUGUCUCUUCCUGAACCUAAGCACAUCAUGAAAGCUGAUGGGAAGGGUUCUGAGCGAAUAUGGAAAAUGCUCAGUAAGCCAUUGGAUGGAACACGUCUAGGAGGCAACCAUGAAGUGCUGGAAAGGAGAAACCCUCUAGCCUUUGCUCACUUUGCCAACCACCCAGCAAGGGACAUGGUACCAAAUGUAAUGGUAUGCCCUUUUGGUUCAAAUCUUGGAAGUCUGGCAAGAAUGGAUUAGAUGUCCCUGUUCUAAAGACGCUUGUUAUUGUGGCAACUAGAGCAAUUAGUAAUGAAGAAAUUCUCCUGAACUACAGAUUGAGCAACUCAAAGCAAAGACCACCAUGGUACACUCCAGUGGGUGAGGAAGAAGAUCGAAGGAGGUGGAGCUAAGAUGAUAAUCAAUGGUGCAUGUUGAAGUAUACUAACCAUGAAAACAAGUGCAUUUCUGUAUACAGCACUAGGAGAACAGUGAGAACAUUUAUUUUGGUGACUAUAAUCUGGUUCACUUUUGGUUUUACAUCUUUUUGAAUAGUUUGCUUGUAGCAAUUAUGGCUAGUGGCCAAGUUAACCUGUUAAGAACAUGAUUUACUGAGCAGGAGAACAGAGCUACUAUGCUUUGAACUAACCGUGAAUUAUUCUUACAUGAGCUACAUAAUAAGCGGAAAAGGAAUCCAUCCUUGCUAUAGAAAAUAGUAAAUGUUAUUCUGGUUGCUUAUGAAAUAUGAGAGCCUUCAUUUUCUCAAUGAUUCUUGGAUGAUUUCUCCAGCUUCCUGUGUUUUAUAUAUGUUUCUUUAUAAAUGAUAGUACUUCACUAAUCUACUUUUACAGCCCACAAAGAUUUGAAAGCAAUGUUUAUGUAGCAAGUGUGCAUAGACAAAUGUAACAUCGUUUUUCUGCAUUUAUUAGUUCUGUCUGAAAGAAAGUGCAGGGGAGAAUUGUGAUUACAAAUGAGCAAGAAGUUUGUUGAUAUUUUGGCGUGGCCUACAUUUUGCUAGCAAUGGUAUUGCCUUGGGCAUAGUGAGUCCAGGUCCUCCAGUCAUGUCAACCAACUCUUCACUUACUCUCUCCCAUUCAAAGCACUGAAUAAGUGAUCCUAAUGCCAAACCAGCAACAUGCAUUGCCAAAUUCUCACCUGGACAUCCUCUCCUGCCAUAUCCAAAUGGCAUUUGUCUGAACCCAUCUCGUUGCCCUUUGAUAUCGAUAAACCUUUCAGGCCUGAACUCAUUUGGCCUGUCCCACAACUUAGCAUCAUUUUGUAUUGCCCACAAAUUCACUAGCAACAUUGUCCCUCGGGGUACACGAAAACCUCCAACAACACACUCAUCUGAGGACUCGUGUGGCACAAGUAAUGGAGUAGCUGGGCACAAUCGGAGAGUUUCGUUUAUGAUUCCAUGGAGAUAAGGGAGUUGAGCAAGGUCUGAAUCAUCAAGUAAUCUUGAUGACUCUCCAAGGUGAGUGUCUAUUUCGUUUUGAGCUUUCUUUAGUGCCUCAGGAUUGUUCAGAAGAAAUGAUAAUGCCCAUUCCAUUGUGCUAGCUGUAGUAUCAGUCCCUGCUGUUAACAUGACUAUUCCCAUGCCCCUUAUCACUUCAUCUGUGUAAUAAUCAGGCUCUGAAUCUUGGAGGGAUAAGAGAACAUCAAUCAUGGUGUUAUUCUUUUGCUCCCAAUGAGAUCCUUUUCGGCGGUUCUUGUGCUCUUCAAUCAAAUCUUGCAUGAAUUUAUCCCUCUUCUCCUGCAGUAACUUCACCUUAUUCUCAAGUUUGUUUACUCCUAUCCAUUUAAGAAGUGGCACAAAAUCUCCUAUAUUUGUUGCACCACUCACUUGGAAAGUUUCUAUAACAAUCUCUUUAAACCUCCUAGAUUCCUCCAAUUUCUCAGCAGAAUCACCAUAGUAUUUUUUCCCCAGCAAUCAUCAUCAUCAAGAUAUUCAGUAUCAUCUCAAAGAAAGCCGCUUUCAUAUCCACCACGUUUGUGUUACCACCACUGGUUUUCCCCCUUAGAAGGUGUUGCAGCAGAGCACGAACCUCAUCUCUACGGAUAUCAGCAAACAUUCGAACUCUGUGAGUGGACAAGAUUUCAAGAGUAGCAAUCCUUCUUAGGUUGCGCCAAUGUUGGCCAUAGGAUGCCCUAACAAGGGUGGUAUAGUUGUAACCAAGAUGUUUUCCAGCCAGCAGAUUCACACGAUUGGCAAAAACAAUGUCGUUUUUGGUGAAACAUUCCUCUACAAGAGAAGGGGAGGAGACAACCAGGACAGGACACGAUCCAAAUCGAAGGUAAAGCAAAGGACCAUGUUUUUUUUGAGAUGUUGGCUAAUGUUUUAUGAAGUGGUUUUUUCUUGAGUAGAUAUAAAUGGCCUAUAAUGGGAAAAGAGAUAAAGGGACUUGGUGGGAGAUUUUGGAAUUUUCUAAGGAACUUGUUCUUUAGAAUGUAAAGGAAAGUGAAGAUGAGUAUGUAAUAUGAAAUUUCCAUGGUUGAUGCAAAUACAAGCAAAGAAGACUUUUUGACAUCUUUGCUCACUUGAUCAUUAUUUAUACUAGGGAAAAGGGUUUGAUAUACCCUCAACUUUGUCAUUUGGAGCUGAUAUGUCCCUCGUUAUGAAAGUGGCUCAUAUUACCCUUACCGUUAUACAAACGGCUCACAUAUACCCCUACCGUUACAAAAUGAGCUCACAUAUAUCCUUUAUUUAACGGAAGUGAAAAAAUUAAUUUUAAACUUAUAUUUUUUACUUUUAAUUUUUUUUUAAAUCAUUUAGGAGUAUAUAAGAUUCUUCUAGGAAAGUUCAAGGUAUAUUUCAAUUUGUUUCAUACAUAAAUUAUUUUUUGACUUUUUUGAUUUUCAUUAUUUGAGUUUCUUAUUCUUAUUUUUUUUUUCAUUCCUUAGUGUAAGAAAAAAACUUAAAACUAUUUUUUUGUGGCUAUAUUAUAAUUUAAAAUAAUUUUUUUUCUCUAUAUUGUAAUUUAAUUUUUGUAUUUGAAGAAAAGAUAAUUGGUCAUCUAUAGUAAGUUUUACAAGAAUAUUAGUGAAACAUAAAUAAAUUUGACCAUCAAAAUAAUAAAUCUAAAUUAGUCAUUGAAAACAAAAGAAGUCAAAAACGUAUGUUUGAGGAGGAUUAAAUAUACCCAUAUGGGAUUAUAGUUUGUUUUUUUAAAAAAAAAAAAAUUAAACCAAAUUUAAUUUUUUUUCAUUUCCGUUAGAGGGAAAGUGUAUAUGUGAGCCAUUUAUAUAUAAGUAGGGGUAUAUAUGAGUCACUUUCAUAACGAGUGGUAUAUCAACUCUAAAUGAUAAAAUUGAGGGGUAUAUCAGACCCUUUUUCCUUUAUACUAUUGUUGUCUAGGUAUCAUUUGUGAAUGGCAAGAUGCCAACUGCUAAGCAUGCUUGUAUUGUCAAACUAGGGUGAAUAGAUGGCCCACCAACAUAGGUAGUGGUGCAGCGGUGAAACUGCUUCAUUCUUAAUUAGAAGUCUCGAGUUCAACCAGAAAUCUUGUUGGGAGUGUCACCCCUAGAAUGAGCUUUGCAGUAUGUGAUUCAAAUUUAGUUGAAGCUUCGACACCGGACAUGGGAAAUAAAAAAAUAAAAUAAAGAAUAGUGUGGGCCCAAUAUUAUGAAAAUUCAAACUAUUAAUAAGUAUAUUUAUCAAAAGGAAAAAAAGUUUGAUAUACCUCUUAACUUUGUCAUUUAGAGUUGAUAAUCACUCUUUAUGAAAAGGGAAAAUUAGUAAACUAGUCAAAUUUUCUAGCAUAAUUAUUAAAAACAUUUACACUUUAAAAUAAUUAUUAAAAAUGUCAAUAUUUAAACAAAUAUAAUGUAUCUUAAUAUAAGUUAUUUACCUUAUUUUUUUCCCUCAAAUUGGGCCCCACUUUUUACCCCAAAAAAACUCUAUUCCCACUUUUCACUCUCUACAUUUUUUACCCACAUUUUAUCCUCUCACAGAUUUUAAAUCCCACUAGUUUAGGUCUUAAUUAUUAAGAUUCCCAAUAGUUUCAAAUAUUACUUCCUCUACCAUAUUUUAUGAUUAGGAUACAUGAGUUUGAAUCCAUGAGAUACAUGUAUCUGUCAAAUUUUAAAAUUGAGAUACAAAAUUUAUUUAUUUAAAUUAAUUGGUUGUAACUUAUUUCCUUAAUUAGAGGAGUAAUUGAGGAUUUUCAAAAUACACAGAUAAUUAAUUUCAUUUUAUUAUUCUUUGAAAUAGUAAAUUCAUUAAUAUUAUUAAUAUAAGAUAAAAACAUGUAUAUCUUGGUAAUGUAAUUUGAUUAAUUUCAAAUUAUUACUCUUAAAAUAAUAAAUUCAUUAAUUUGAUGUAUCUAUUAUCAAUAUAUGAUGUAUCCAACAAACUAAACAUUUAGAUANNNNNNNNNNNNNNNNNNNNNNNNNNNNNNNNNNNNNNNNNNNNNNNNNNNNNNNNNNNNNNNNNNNNNNNNNNNNNNNNNNNNNNNNNNNNNNNNNNNNNNNNNNNNNNNNNNNNNNNNNNNNNNNNNNNNNNNNNNNNNNNNNNNNNNNNNNNNNNNNNNNNNNNNNNNNNNNNNNNNNNNNNNNNNNNNNNNNNNNNNNNNNNNNNNNNNNNNNNNNNNNNNNNNNNNNNNNNNNNNNNNNNNNNNNNNNNNNNNNNNNNNNNCAUUAAUAUCAUUGUGUUGUUAAAAAUCAUGUAUCCGAAAUUUAAUAGUGGAUACAUAUACAUGUUCAGAUACCCCAUUACUAAAAAUAUAACUCGGAUCUUAAUUAAGAUUACUACUUAUUUGAUACACAUGUUUCAAGGGCUAUAUCAAAUUAAUAUUGGUACUACCACAUCCAUAUCACAGUAACCAAAGAAAGUCUUAGAAGAACACCAGCAAACAAAAACUCUCUACAAUAUUCCCUUUGAUCCUUUUGUGCUGUGGCAUAACAUAAUCAAAACUAAGAUCCAUUUCUUUCGGAGACAAACAAUCAAGACCCACUAUGAAUUGAAAGUUUUCUUUGUAGCAGUUACUAUGAUGGAACUCGUGAUAAAUGAACAAUAUAAAAUAAUAUUUGAGUUCAAGAGAAUUUGUGGUGAUGAUAUCUUGAGAAGAAGAGAGUAGAUUAACUAUUGUUGAAAUGAAAUUGUAAGGUGAAAUUCUUGAAUUAGAAAGGAGGAGACAUAAUUGAGUGAUAAACAUGGGAGGGGAGAAUUAAGAGAUAGUGGUUGAUUUGGAGUGAAAGAGUUAUUUAAGCAGAUAAUUAAUCAAUAAUAGUUUUAAGGGAUGUGGGUAUCUAAUAGUAUUUUCAAAUAAUAUAUUAAUAUAUGGUAUAAAAUACUAAAAGUGGUAAUAUAUGUAAUUGUUUAAAAGUAAAGAUAAUAUUAGUAUAUAUAGUAGUGAUGUAUGUCUAAUAAGGUAGUUUAUCCUCUUUUUUUCCCUUAUUCAUACGUUUUUCAACAAUUCUCUUUCGUAUUUUUUUUUUAAAAAUAAAAUAAAAUUCUCUCUCAUCUAAUUUCCUCUUCCAACUGUUCUUCAUUUUUUCAUCUUCCGCUUCUCUCUCUUCCGUAGCUUUCAUUUUUUUUCACAAAUUCGUGAUUUGUUUACAUGUUUGAAAUUUUGUAGAUUGUAGUAAUCUACAUUGACAUUUAUACAUCAUAUAUUGUUUGAUUUUUUAUACAUUCAUAUUUAAUAAUUCAAAAUUUUGCUUAUAGGGUUACUAAUACACAAGUGAAUACGAUUUGGAUUUGGAUUUGGUGAACAAAAAAUGGGAAAAAAGGAACAUAGCAGACAAAGAAGAAGAAAAAAGAGAGAGUCAGAGAAGAAGGUUGCAAAAUUGUAUUCAUACCAGAAUCAUAUUCAUAUUAAUUUUUGUUUGUUAAUUGUUUUCUUUUACUCAACAUUUGUAUUUUUAUUAAGAAUACAGAUUCAGAUUUGGAUUUGGUGAACAAAAAAUCUGAAAAAAAGAACAUAGCAGACGAAGAAGAAGAAGAAAGAGAGAGUCAGAGAAGAAGGUUACAAAAAUUGUAUUCAUACUAGAAUCGUAUUCAUAUUAAUUUUUGUUUGUUCAUUGUUUUCUUUUACUCAACAUUUGUAUUUUUAUUAAGAACAUUGUAUUUCUUUUUUUAGUUUGUAGUCAUUCCAAUAGGUAUGCCAGACGGAUUUGUAAUUUCUAAGCUAUAUGUAUCCUAUUUUUUUCACAAUCAAUCUGUAUUUUUUUUAGAAUAUUGUAUCAUUCCUCAACAAACUGUAUUAUUUCCACUAUGUAUGCUAUUUUUUUUCCAGAAUUUUGUAUCCCUAUUUCAUUCACAAUCAAUUUGUAUUUAUUUUUAGAAUAUUGUAUCAUUCCUCAACAAAUUGUGUUGUUUCCACUGUGUAUGCUAUUUUUUUUUCCAGAAUCUUAUAUCCUUUGAUAAAUCAUAUUUAUAUGUAAUGAUUAGAUUAUAUUGGGAUACAAUCAGUAAUAUUUUUGUAAUACAAAUUAAAGAAAAAAAUAUUUGGUAGUGUCUGAGAUACAAUUUUUAGUUUUCAUUAUGAAAGUAAAAUACUAAUUUUAAUUUGAAUGGUAAAGUGAGCAAUACAUUAACUAAUGAGAAUUUUAAGUGAUAUGUUCCUUUUUUUUGUUAAAAAGUACUAUCUUCCUGAUUUUCUCCUUUCUGUUAUUAAAUAAUUGUAUUCUUGCAAAUCAAACAAAUAAAAAAAUACAUAAAUCAGAUACAUAACAAACUAAAAUAUUGACAUUUUAAAUAAAUAUUGAAAGUAUGGCUAAGGUUUCCUAUUAAAUAUCAAAAUAUUGACAUUUUGAAAAUUUUCCUAAAAUGUCUCAUAUAUACCCUUACCGUUAUACAAAUGACUCAUAUAUACCCUUACCGUUACAAAAGGAGCUCACAUAUACCCUUCAUCUAACGGAAGUGAAAAAAUAGUUUUAAAUUUAUUUUGUUGACUUUAAUUUUUUUUUAAAAUCAUGUAAGAAAUAUAUAUGAUCCUUCUAGCAAAGUUCAAGGUUUAUUUUAAUUUCUUUUCAUACAAAAAUUAUUUUUUGACUUCUUUGAUUAACAUUAUUUGAAUUUCUUAUUCUUUCUUUUUCUUUCAUCCUUUAGCGUAAAGAAAAAAAUUGAAACUAAUUUUUUUGCGGCUAUAUUGUAAUUUAGUUUUUAUAUUUGUAAAAAAAAUGGGGCAUCUAUAAUAAAUUUUACAAGAAAAUUAGUGAAACAAAAAAAAAAUUUACCAUCAAAAUAAUAAAUUUAUAUUAGUCGAAACAAAAAGUCAAAAAAAGUUGUGUGAGGAGGAUCAUAUAUACCUCAUAUGGAUUAUAUUUUUUUCAAAAAGAAUAACUAAAAACUUAAAUUUAAAUUAAUUUUUUCACUUCUAUUAGAGGAAAAGGGUAUAUGUGAGUCAAUUGUAUAACAAUAGGGGUAUUUAUGAGUCACUUUCAUAACGAGGGGUAUAUCAACUCUAAAUGACAAAAUUGAGGGGUAUAUCAAAUCAUUUUCCCUUAUCAAAAUGUUAGAGUAAAAAUAUGUCUAGUCUAUUUUUGUUUCAAAUAUAUGCAAUGCAUAGUCUAUUAAUGUUUAAAUUAUAUUUUAAACUCUCAAUUAUCUAGAAGUAAAGUAGAGCAUGGCAUCAUUAUUAAUGGAUUAAAGGUCUAUUAAAAUUGAACACAAGUUUACGUGUGCAAUUGAAUGUUUAAUGAAGAGGAAAGAAUGGACAUUUUUUGGAAUUGUUGAUAAGGUUCAAAUAACAAAAGCAAAAAAGACAUUUUUUUAAAACAAAUUGAUCUUGCAAAAUGUUUUAAGAUCACAUUACCCUCAAACUUUUUACUUAAUGUCCAAAAAAACUGACAUAUUGAAAUCGUAUCUUUUAAUUUAAUAUAUAUAAAAAAUAACAAUAAAGCAGGACAAUAUUUUUCAUUCACGUAUUUGAAAUUGACAUGUUAAAAUCAUAUUUUCUAAUAUAUAGAAAAACAACAAUAAAAUAGAAUAAUAUUUUGCGUUCACGUAUCUGAAUUUUUGUAUAAGUGAAUUCAUGGACUUUAUUGGAUUAUUUCUUCUGACUAAGCGUAUGAACCAUGAAUUGUUCUAAUAAGACAAUUUAGUCAAUCCUUUGUUUAAAAGAAUUAGUCCUUGUCUAUCUUCUCAAGUACUUUGGAAUUUCUAAAGGUUCAUAUGCUUAUUACACAUUUUCACAACUUUAUUAAAACUAAUUCUGGACACGUGCUUUGCAUGCGAGUCUCACGAAAAUAUUAUAUGGGGUAUGAGUUAUAUAUUAAAAUCACAUUGUGAAUUUACUUUCACUUUCGAUUGUAAUUUAUAAAUAUGUAAAAUUUAUUUUAAAGAAUUUAAAAAUAUUCUAUUUGAACUCAUGAAAUGACAUAAAAUAAUUAGAUAUUUAACCUAUUCCAAUCAUGAUUCAUAAGUAAACAUACAUUUCAAAAUGGUGAAUACAUGUGAAAAUGCUUUCUUGUCAAAAAUUCAAAAAAUAAAUAUGAAAUGUUUAUUUAAGGAAAUAGAAGAAACAUAUUUUUUUUUUAUUAAACUUACUGAUCAAAGAGAGCAUGGAAAAAUAAUUCUUUAGUGGCUUGACUUCAUCCUUGCAUUCAUUGUUUCACAAGUUAUGUUUUAUCAAAUAAUCCAUGAACAUCCCCAUAUAUAUAAUUGUUAACAAUUAUUUUGAAGUUGACAAUAAUAAUGUGAAAUAAGUGUCAUCAAGAUAACUCUUCAGUUUUGAAAUGCUUGGUCUUCCGCUGACAACCUACUCAAGCUAUUUCAUCCAUUGAGUGACUUUCUAUCUUCCAUUAUAUCUUUAUUACAUAAUAUAAUGCAUAUGUGAAUACCUUAGAAUUAUUCCCAUUUAUAUCUAGUUUAGUAUUUAGUUAUUAUAAUAUAUUUUUUAGAUUUUGUACAUAAAAAAAAUAUUUAAAUGAAUCCAACUUUGAAGAAUGAGUUUCCCACUUUUAAUAAUAUAUAUAUAUGAUGAUGUCCCAAGAAAAAAAAGAAUUCAAACAAAACGAUUUCCUCAAUAUAGCUUAACUCUGUCAAGUCUGUACGAGUAGUGAAUAAGUAUAUAUCUUCAUAGGACUAUUUGGAUGUACAAUUCAAUUUCGAUAGUAGUAUUUCAUUUCAGUUGCACAAGGUCAAGGCUUCCAAUUUAAGGAAUGAUAAACUUUCUAACUUUAUGAAUUGGUCUUCUGCACACUGGGCACAACCUAUUAUCAACAUCCAUGAUCCUGCAGGAAACUACACUCAUGAGAAUCUUCAUAACCUUUUUUUUUAAAAUUUGUGAAAAGUAAUUGAGACCUAUAUUGCUCGAACUUUUUAAAAAUGCUCCUAGUUGAUCCCGAAUCCUCUAAAUAUACUCUCUUUUGGAGGAUCGUACAUUAUUGAUGAAAUGUACACAUUCAUGAGAAGUAUGACACUUUUGGGGCUUGAAUUUAUGAAGCCAAUGUUGUACGUGUGAUUUUCCUCAAUUCUGUGUGCUUCUUCGAUACAUUUAACCGAUAUGGGAUUAGUUCAAGAUUGUAAGGAAUUCUAUUACAAUCAACUAGAAACAAAAGAAAACAAGAAGAGUGUUAACUCUAGCCAAGAGUUUGUAAGUUGCACGCGUUAUUUUCUUGUUUGUUACUCUGUCAGUUUCAAUUCAUAUGAUACUCUUUCCUUUUUGGGACGUUCCAAAAAUAUUCAACCAUUCUACUUAUGUAGAACUUUCAAAUACUGAAAUUCAUUCAUCUUACUAACUCUAAUGAAGUAUUCUCUUCCGUCAAUCUAAGUAUAUUAUAUAAGUCGUAUUAACAUCCUAAACUCACGGACAAGUCAAACACCAUCACAUAGUACAUUGUUAUAGAAAAUGUAUAAUUUUGCAACUUCAAGCUGUUACAAUCUGCAGUUCCUUUAAAUGAAGAAUCAAAAUGCACAACAUUUACUUUUGUUUAUUAUUAGUUAGGUAUAUCCUACUUAUAGUGCCGACUAAUUUAAGUAUUAAUGGUGAAUCAAGUUGCCACCAAAACCUCCUUUUAGUGGCAACUAAUAUAGGGAUGACCAAAAUUGUCAGUAAAAACAUACUUUCAUCUACAACUUAAAUAAGCAUUAGUACUUGACAAAGACUUCCUCAUAUUCACCUAAUUUAUAAAAAGAUAGUUCAAUGUAUAAAGUAUUAUGAGUUAGCAAGAUUCGAAGAAAGGUAAAUAGCGACGACAAUUAUGAGUAUUAACAGCGACUAAUUUUGCCACAUUUUUUUUUUUGGUGGCGACUGUUAUGAGUAUUAGCAGCGACUAAUUUGCCACUAUAAGUAUCUUUUAGUGGCGACUAUUCUUGUCACUAAAACACACUUCUAGUGGCGACUAUUAUAAGUAUUACCGGCGACUAUUCUUGUCACUAAAACUUAUUUUUAUUGGCGACUGGUAUGACUAUUAGCGGCGACUGUUCUUGUCGCUAAAACAUUCUUUUAGUGGCGACGGUUAUGACUAUUAGCGGCGACUAUUCUUGUCACUAAAAUAUUCUUUUAGUGGCGUUUAUUAUAGGUAUUAGCGGCGACUAUGCUUGUCACUAAAACACUCUUUUAGUGGCGAUUGUUAUAACUAUUAGCGGCGACUAUUCUUUUCACUAAAACUUACUUUUACUGGCGACUAUGCUUGUCACUAAAAACACUCUUUUAGUGGCAACUGUUAUAACUAUUAGUGGCGACUAUUCUUUUCGCUAAAACUUACUUUUAGUGAUGACUAUUAUAGGUAUUAGCGGCGACUAUGCGAGUAACUAAAACACUCUUUUAGUGGCGACGUUAUGACUAUUAGCGGCGACUAUCCUUGUCACUAAAACUUACUUUUAGUAGCGACUAUUAUAACUAUUAGUGGUGCUAUGCUUGUCACUAAAACACUCUUUUAGUGGCGACUGUUAUGACUUUUAGUAGAGGGAGUGUAGGAAAAAAAAAAUCAAUUUUGGAUGAAAAAUAAUUUCUAGAAAUCAUGGUGUAGAGAGAAACGCACUUUCUUAAACUUCGUGUAAAAUCAAAAUCAAACAAACAAAUUGAAACAUAUGAAAUAAUAUAGGAUUUUAUUUAGCAAAAGGGUCAAAAAACACACCUCUACUUUUGUUUAUUAUUAGUUAGGUUUAUCCUUCGUUAUACUAUCGGACCAAAUAUACCCUCAUUGUUAUGAAAGUAAAUGGACAAAAUUUCCCAAAGACUCCCCAUGAGCCACUUUUUCGAAGGGUCAGCUCAUACAUCGGUUUACCGAAAUAACCUCUGCUCUCCCACUUCCUUCUAUUCAAAAGGUAAGCAACCCUUGAACAAAAAUACCCAAUUUUAUAAACGAAAGUAGAAGGGUAUUUUAGACCAUUUUUCUUUUUAUGAAAAGGGUCAAAAAUACCCUCAAACUAUGUGAAAUAGACCACUUAUACUGUCCAUUUCAUUUUGGGAUCAAAAUACCCUCGCUGUUAUUCCAAGAGAUCACAAAUAUCCUUAAGAGUUAAUUAUCCAAUUUUUUAGUGAUGUGGCAAGCCACAUGAGACUAAUCUCUCCACCUAAGCAUUGCCAACUUGGAUUCACUACAAAAGAACUAAACCUUUAGUGGCGAUAAAAGUCGCCACCACAUCCCAAAAUAUUACCACUAAAGGUUAUGAGUGAUUUUUAGUAUAUAUUUUUUUUAUUGAAAAAAUAUGAUAAUUAAUUUUUGGUUGCAACUUAAUUUUCUAAAAUAAAUAACAUGCAUUGUCAAUAUUAAAAACAUCCAAUAUUAUUACGAAAAUCAUCAAAAUUACUUCUCGAUUCAAAUCUCCUACUACAUAUUUACAUAUGACAUAAAAAUAAAAUAUAUAGUGUCUCCAAACUCCUCCUUGAUCGAUAUCAUUUGUGAUUUUUUUAAAAUAAUGAAGAAAAAACACAAAAUUAGAAUUUAAUGUUAAAAAUCAGUUAAAACCUUUAGUGACGAUAUUUUGGGCUUUUGUGGCGACUUGUGUCACCGCUAAAGGUCUAAUUAUUUUUUAAUGAAUCCUAGUUGGCAAUGCUUAGGUGGAAGGAUUAGUCUCAUUUGACUUGUCACGUCACUAAAAAUUUGGGGUGUUAAAUCUUGAGGGUAAUUGUGAUCUCUUAAGAUAACGACGGGGGAAUUUUUUAUCUCAAAAUAUAACAAAGGAUAUAAGUGAUCUAUUUCGCAUAGUUUAGGGACAAUUUGACCCUUUUCUGUUCUUUUUAUUCAAUUAUGGGGUGUGAUUUUCCCUAUGGACCAAAAAGUGUAGUCCUAGUACCAAAAAAAAGAGAGGGAAACUCAAAAAUGGAGGGAACAAUAAUAUAUUUUUUUAAGAUUUCAAAACAAAUAAAAUGCUGAGCUGUUUCUACCCUUUAAACAUUGGCCAUCACUGUUCCCUAUUUCUGGGUUCGAUCCAAUAAAACUUCACAGUAACAUACAGAACUCAGAAGGGGUGUAGAAGGUAACAAUGGUGAAAGCGGGAAGCAAAAGAGGUGCAGCAGAUGAAGAAGAACCCAAUGACGGAGCAGCAGCAGGAGAUUAUGAGAAGCGAAGGGCUGAGAGAAUCAAAGAGAACAAAGAGAGACUACACAAACUUGGCAUUCUCGAGCUCACAAAGAACCUAAAUCCCCCUUCCAAGAAACUCACCACUCCCCGAAUCAGCCGCCAGGCGGUGUCAAUUGAUGACCCACCUCGCCGCUCUUUUAGGUAUUGAGUCUCAUCCUUCCUUAAUUAGAUAUUUUGGGUUCGAGUCUGAAAAUGAAAUAAAUUUUGCUAGCUCUAUAAUCGUCCUUGGGUGUCUCAAAAUCGAAUUAGUUGGGAGAUUUAAUGUAGUAUCCAACACCGGAUGAAAAAGAAAUUGGGGCUACAAAGGCCUGAUUUAGUGGCUGACCCUGAUUUUGAUUUUCCAAAAAAAGUAGGAGAAAAGGAUGUAUUGGGUUGGUUCUUAUUGCAGUCUUUAAUGGAUAUAAAAUGUUCCCUAUAUGCUGAAAUAUGUUUAGUCAUAGAUAUUUUGGUGUUUAAUUGGAAAUAAAUGUAAAUAACAACAUACUCCGUGUUUGAUAGAGUGCAUGUAAGCCUUACCACUACGAGUUUGAGGUAGAGAGGUUGUUUCUGAAAGACCCUUGUUCAAGCAAAUCAAAGGAAAAACAUGAUAGCUAAUAGAUAUGUUUGACUUAUUGUGAAAACGGAUAAGAAAAUUGCAAAGUUUUAUGUAUAUAUUUCAUGAAAUCAAACAAAUGCUCGUUUAUGCUCAGUUUGUGUAUGAUGUUUUGUUUUUCCUAUGGUCAUCUUUUUCAUGGAAUGUCUUGUGGAGAUGUCUUUCAUUAUAGUAAAACCUUGCCUUUUCUAGUCCGGAAAGAUCUUCUUUGUCGAAUGAUGUUUACAUGUUUUUAGGUUGAAGGAUAAGCCUCCAGUUAGUUACAAAGAAAAGACGAUUCCCAAGACGGAUAAGAUAUCAAAAGAGGAUGUAGAGAUUAAUAUAGGAGAAGGUGAAAACACUGAAUUCUACACAGAGGAACAUGAAAAGCUUUUAGGUGACUGCCAGAAUGCUUGGAAUCUCUGUGUUGAUGGCUAUGGUGAAGAUGGCCAGCGUGUAUAUGAUCCUGAUAAUGGCAAGUCAUGCCAUCAGUGCAGGUGUAAACCUUUGUUCUCAUCGUCUGUUUUAUGUUGUUCUAUUGCUUAUUUAUUUUUAAGGUACCGAUUUAUGCAAUACAUAGAAAACAAUUUGCAUUUGUGAUGUGUUUGAUUAUGAAAUAAGAUUUUCCCGAAGAUUAUUUGGAGUUUGAUUUAGUGCGUAUUUUUUCGUGACUUGCAAUGGACGUUUUUUGAAUGUAGCAAUGUGCAAGUCACGAAAAGAAUUGCAUCUUAUGGGGUAUCUUUGAAGUAGUUUUAUAAGUUGUUUGCUUCCAAAAUAAAUCAUUGUCAAGUUUUCUGGAAAUACGCUGUAUAUAUACAGAUUCUGCUGCUUAAGAUAUCUAAGGUGAAUUAUCAUUUAGUCAUAUCUGUUCCUUGAGCACAGUUUCUUAGAAUAUAUAUGGCUAAUUUAGGCCUCCUUUCAUGGGAUAGUAAAGAUGACCAAAACUAUGUUGUCUGAUCAGAAUAUCUCUUCUCCAUUUAGUAUGACUAAUUGAAGCUUUUCUUGUCAUUGUGGAAGCUAGGUUAAAGCAUGUUGUUUGUUAAGAUUGAAUAUAAUAUCGUUUUUGAACUUCUCGCAUGAAUAUUGUAAAAGAAAUUAGUCCACAAGCAUGCAUAUCAACUUGAAUAUUCAAAUGUGUAAUGUGCUGUAUUCAUCUAGAGUUGAGACCAUUUUAUUCAUGAUAUUUGUCUUAAAGAACUAGCAAAAUAGUUGUUCAUCAUUAAUGCAUUUUGCAGUGUUACUCUGAUUCGGCAUUUACUUUUUCCUAUCAGUACUCAGAAUUUUGUAAAACAAUAAGUUCUGCUGCCAAUUUCAUGAAAAAACAUCAUUCUUUCUAUGAUCGAAAUGCAGUCUACUAACCUUUGCUUGUUUCAAUUUAUUACUUGAUGUGAACUCCUAAAAAUAUUUGAUACAAUUGCAGGCAGAAAACUCUUGGUCAACGCACUGCGUGCAGCAAUUGCAAGCUGGGUCAAGGACAAUUCUGUGGAGAUUGUCUGUACAUGAGGUGAUAACUCUUUGAUUUCGUCUUAGCUUUUUUUCUGUAGUAUUCCCUUUAGUAGCUAACUUUCUAUCCUGAAUUCAUAUGACCGUAUUGGUGUUACUUCAAAACUACUGUUUCCGAUGAUCUUACAGUCCAUGUGAAAUGUCCACGGAUCUAAUAUUUGAGCUUGCACAUCAUGUAGGUAUGGAGAGAACGUCACUGAAACAAAUGAAAACGCAAAUUGGAUUUGCCCUGUCUGCCGAGGAAUAUGCAAUUGCAGUCUAUGCAGGCGUGCAAAGGGGUAUGCAGCAACUGGUGCAAUCUACAGAAAGGUGAACCUCUUUGGCCCUUUUAUGCUUGAUUCAUUCCACCAGUAAAGUCUAGAUCGCUUGUCUGAUAAUUACAAAGAAUUCUCUUUUUAUGUAUAUUUAAGUUUGAGUUGAGGAUAGAGAUUUUCGGGAUUGCAGCAUUCAAUUCUAAGGAAGUUAACAUGUUUACAGGUACUGCGUCUUGGUUACAAAUCUGUGGCACACUACCUUGUCAAAACUCGAAUGCAUAGUGACCACGAAGAUCUAAGCUCUGCAGAUUCACCUUCCAGAAAGAGUAUAGUGCCAUUCACAGAGUUCACUAAUACUCUCUCAACUUCUCAAACUGAUGAUAACAAAACUUUGAAGGGGGGAGAACGCACACACUGUGACGGUGAUGAUGCAUAUUGUGAUGAAGAAGAUGUC